rnacentral:rRNA from 1 species
UUCAAUUCAUACCAGUUUCUCAAAGCUUGAUCUCAUCAGCUCUCAGAAGAUAAGCAGGGCUGGGCCUGGUUAGUACAUGGAUGAGAGAUCACUGGGAAUAUCAAGUGAUGUAGGAC